rnacentral:rRNA from 1 species
GAUGAACGCUGGCGGCGUGCCUAAUACAUGCAAGUCGAGCGAACAGAUAAGGAGCUUGCUCCUUUGAAGUUAGCGGCGGACGGGUGAGUAACACGUGGGUAACCUACCUAUAAGACUGGGAUAACUUCGGGAAACCGGAGCUAAUACCGGAUAACAUUUAGAACCGCAUGGUUCUAAAGUGAAAGAUGGUUUUGCUAUCACUUAUAGAUGGACCCGCGCCGUAUUAGCUAGUUGGUAAGGUAACGGCUUACCAAGGCGACGAUACGUAGCCGACCUGAGAGGGUGAUCGGCCACACUGGAACUGAGACACGGUCCAGACGCCUACGGGAGGCAGCAGUAGGGAAUCUUCCGCAAUGGGCGAAAGCCUGACGGAGCAACGCCGCGUGAGUGAUGAAGGGUUUCGGCUCGUAAAACUCUGUUAUUAGGGAAGAACAAAUGUGUAAGUAACUGUGCACAUCUUGACGGUACCUAAUCAGAAAGCCACGGCUAACUACGUG